rnacentral:rRNA from 1 species
GCCAUUGCACCCUGCGUUGUAAGUAGCAGGCCCACCAAACAUUAAGGGCGAAAGCCUAGGGGCAGAUGGCGCUGCCGUCCUCUCUCACUCUCUCGCUACAAUUAAAUCAGAUAUAACUCAUUGGAUCUCUGCUGAACCGCAUUACUUGGAUAACUGUGGUAAUUCUAGAGCUAAUACAUGCCUUUGUAGUCUCCGACCGCGAGGGAGGAGCGCUUUUAUUAGACCAAAACCCUCGGCAGCCGGUUCCCGCAAGGGGCCGGCCGCACACAUCUUGGUGAAUCAGAAUAACUUUUGCCGAGCGCACGACCCCUCCCGUAACCCGGGUUGGGUCGGCGCCGCGUCCUGCAGGCGUCUGCCUUAUCAGCUCUCGAUUGUAGGUUAAACGCCUACAAUGGCUAUCACGGGUAACGGGGAAUCAGGGUUCGAUUCCGGAGAGGGAGCCUGAGAAACGGCUACCACAUCUAAGGAAGGCAGCAGGCGCGCAAAUUACCCACUCCCGGCACGGGGAGGUAGUGACGAAAAAUACUGUUGCGAGCCCCGAACGGGGCCUCGCAAUUGGAAUGAGUACACUUUAAAUCCUUGUACGAGGAUCGAGUGGAGGGCAAGUCUGGUGCCAGCCGCCGCGGUAAUUCCAGCUCCACUAGCGUAUAUUAAAGUUGUUGCGGUUGAAACGCUCGUAGUUUGACUUCUGCUCCGGACCGGCGGUCCGCCUUAGCGGCGGCUACUGCCGGGUUCCGAGCUGUGUCCCCGCCGGCGCACAUGGGGUUUUUAUGCCCUUAACCGGGUGUCCCCUUGUGGCCGGCACGUUUACUUUGAAAAAAUUAGAGUGCUCAGAGCAGGCUGGUUUUUGCUUACAGCCCGAAUGGUCGUGCAUGGAAUGAUGGAACAGGACCUCGGUUCUAUUUUGUCGGUUUUUCGGAACCCGAGGUAAUGAUUAAUAGAAGCAGGGGGGCAUGUUAUGAAAAGACAAGACCUGCCGAAGGCGAAACGAGCGUUCUGGGGUCCAUUUCCGUUCAUACUCGCCCUCGAACGCUAGAGGAAUUCGACAGACGUCGCAUGCGACGCUAGAGGUGAAAUUCUUAGACCGUCGCAUGACGACCUACUGCGAAAGCAUCUGCCAAGGAUGUUUUCAUUGAUCAAGAACGAAAGUUAGAGGUUCGAAGGCGAUCAGAUACCGCCCUAGUUCUAACCUUAAACGAUGCUGACUAGCGAUCCGCCGCAGUUAUUCCCAUGACCCGGCGGGUAGCUUCCGGGAAACCAAAGUCUUUGAGUUCCGGGGGAAGUAUGGUUGCAAAGCUGAAACUUAAAGGAAUUGACGGAAGGGCACCACCAGGAGUGGAGCCUGCGGCUCAAUUUGACUCAACACGGGGAAACUCACCAGGCCAGGACACCGGAAGGAUUGACAGAAUGAAGGCUCUUUCUCGAUUCGGUGGGUGGUGGUGCAUGGCCGUUCUUAGUUGGUGGAGUGAUCUGUCUGGUUAAUUCCGAUAACGAACGAGACUCUAGCCUGCUAAAUAGUCGACGGAUCUCAACCCCGUUGCCCCCGUUGUCGUUCGCGGCGAUGCGGGGCGCGGGUUCCCCGAAACCCGGUCGUCGUGCGGGCCUCCACCGUCGGUCGGUUAGCGCCGCCGGCGGCGCGCCCCGCGGCGCCGGAAACUGGCGUCCGCUUCGCAGUCUUCUUCUUAGAGGGAUAAGCGGCAGCAAAAAAUAUACUAGCCGCACGAGAGUUUGAGCCAUAACAGGUCUGUGAUGCCCUUAGAUGUUCUGGGCCGCACGCGCGCUACAAUGGAGAGUUCAGCGAGCUGGCCCUGCUCCGAGAGGAGCGGGUAACCUCGUGAAAGCUGUCCUUAAAGGGGAUUGGGGCUUGCAAAUGUUCCCCAUGAACGAGGAAUUCCCAGUAGGCGCAAUUCACCAGAUUGCGCCGAUUUAGUCCCUGCCCUUUGUACACACCGCCCGUCGCUACUACCGAUUGAAUGGUCUAGUGAGGGCACCGGACUGGCGCCCUUGGAGCCGCUACCGCCUCGGCGGGCAGCGCCCUCGGGUCGACGGAAAGGUGUCCAAGCUGGGUCAUUUAGAGGAAGUAAAAGUCGUAACAAGGUUUCCGUAGGUGAACCUGCGGAAG